rnacentral:tRNA from 1 species
AAGGGUAUAGCUCAGUGGUAGAGCACAUACUUAGCAUGUACAGGGUCCUGGGUUCAAUCCCCAGUACCUCCU